rnacentral:lncRNA from 1 species
CGUACUCACAAGUUUGUGAGUAAGGAAAGUGAUUCAACAAGAAAGCUAGAGUGAAUCUCCAUCCUCCAGAGUGAAUCUCUGUCCUCCAGGAGGCAGCAGUUGUCACACAAGGAAGGAAAUGGCAGGUAUGACCUACUCAAAUUUCUGCUAAAAAUUAAAAUUCCGUUCCAUUAUCUGUGACAUCAAUGACAAGGACAUAGGAACAAAUGUCAAGGCCACGUUCAUGGGUAGGUUUAAAGACACACAAAACAAAGUCUUAUCUUUCAUGGCACCUAGGCAUUGGACACACAUGCUUAGCUGUCUGGUCCAUGUUAGGCUCUUUGCAGCAUCUUUCCUCUAUCUUCUCUGAAUAUUGCACUCAAGUAUAGACUUCUGCUCUCUGUCUCCAUGUAUCCAUAUGUUAAUGUUAUUUGUGUGUCCCAGUGGUUCUCACAUUCAUAUCCAAGAACUCUCCCAUGAACUCUGGUGUGAGAGGCUUUUAAUUAAGUGUUUGUUGCAGUUUUCCUCUUAACCCAGCUAACUCCCAGAAAAUUGAUACUAGACUAUUAUAUUUAUUUUAAAAAGCAUUAAGGGCACAACAACUGAGUAGUACUACUCUAUUGUAAUCCUCUAAAUGAAUCUGACUGUCUCCCAGACAAAAUCCCAGUGACAUACACAUUUUAGUACUGAUCUAUCUGGAUGUUCUUGAACAAUAAUGAAUGAGGCUAUGGAGAUGUCGCUGUGAACAACCAGAAACGUGGCCUGAGCUCUGGAGCCAUGAACUGCACAGUGUUUAUAAGCAGUGUUUAGGAUGGAGGUACAC